rnacentral:rRNA from 1 species
UAGAGUUUGAUCAUGGCUCAGAACAAACGCUGGCGGCAGGCUUAACACAUGCAAGUCGAACGCCCCGCAAGGGGAGUGGCAGACGGGUGAGUAACGCGUGGGAACAUACCCUUUGGUGCGGAACAACAACUGGAAACGGUUGCUAAUACCGCAUGAGCCCUACGGGGGAAAGAUUUAUCGCCAAAGGAUUGGCCCGCGUCGGAUUAGCUAGUUGGUGGGGUAAUGGCCUACCAAGGCGACGAUCCGUAGCUGGUCUGAGAGGAUGAUCAGCCACACUGGGACUGAGACACGGCCCAGACUCCUACGGGAGGCAGCAGUGGGGAAUAUUGGACAAUGGGCGCAAGCCUGAUCCAGCCAUGCCGCGUGAGUGAUGAAGGCCCUAGGGUUGUAAAGCUCUUUCAGCGAGGAGGAUAAUGACGUUACUCGCAGAAGAAGCCCCGGCUAACUUCGUGCCAGCAGCCGCGGUAAU